rnacentral:rRNA from 1 species
GACGUAGGGCGCGAGCGUUGUCCGGAUUUAUUGGGCGUAAAGAGCUCGUAGGCGGUGUGUCGCGUCGGCUGACUGAAAACCCGGAGCUCAACUCCGGGCCUGCAGUCGAUACGGGCAGACUGGAGUUCGGCAGGGGAGACUGGAAUUCCUGGUGUAGCGGUGAAAUGCGCAGAUAUCAGGAGGAACACCGGUGGCGAAGGCGGGUCUCUGGGCCGAUACUGACGCUGAGGAGCGAAAGCGUGGGGGAGCGAACAGG